rnacentral:piRNA from 1 species
UGCCCGCUGAAGGCACUGAGGUGUGCAUCUGU